GUCCCCGUAGUUCAACGGAUAGAGCAAGGCACUCCUAACGUCUAGAUGUAGGUUCGAUUCCUGCCGGGGACA
rnacentral:tRNA from 2 species